ACUCUCUUUAAGGAACUCUGCAAAAUAGCACCGUAUCUUCGGUAUAAGGUGUGGUUAGCUUCGUACUAGGAUUUACUCCGAAAGCGAAGAAACUUACAACAAAGAGUCCCUCCCGACUGUUUACCAAAAACACAGCACUCUGCUAACUCGUAAGAGGAUGUAUAGGGUGUGACGCCUGCCCGGUGCUCGAAGGUUAAUUGAUGGGGUUAGCAUUAGCGAAGCUCUUGAUCGAAGCCCGAGUAAACGGCGGCCGUAACUAUAACGGUCCUAAGGUAGCGAAAUUCCUUGUCGGUUAAAUACCGACCUGCAUGAAUGGCGUAACGAGAUGGGAGCUGUCUCAAAGAGGGAUCCAGUGAAAUUGUAGUGGAGGUGAAAAUUCCUCCUACCCGCGGCAAGACGGAAAGACCCCGUGGACCUUUACUACAGCUUGACACUGCUACUUGGAUAAGAAUGUGCAGGAUAGGUGGGAGGCUUUGAGUAUAUGACGCCAGUUGUAUAUGAGCCAUUGUUGAGAUACCACUCUUUCUUAUUUGGGUAGCUAACCAGCUUGAGUUAUCCUCAAGUGGGACAAUGUCUGGUGGGUAGUUUGACUGGGGCGGUCGCCUCCCAAAUAAUAACGGAGGCUUACAAAGGUUGGCUCAGAACGGUUGGAAAUCGUUCGUAGAGUAUAAAGGUAUAAGCCAGCUUAACUGCAAGACAUACAAGUCAAGCAGAGACGAAAGUCGGUCUUAGUGAUCCGGUGGUUCUGUGUGGAAGGGCCAUCGCUCAAAGGAUAAAAGGUACCCCGGGGAUAACAGGCUGAUCUCCCCCAAGAGCUCACAUCGACGGGGAGGUUUGGCACCUCGAUGUCGGCUCAUCGCAUCCUGGGGCUGGAGCAGGUCCCAAGGGUAUGGCUGUUCGCCAUUUAAAGCGGUACGCGAGCUGGGUUCAGAACGUCGUGAGACAGUUCGGUCCCUAUCUGCCGUGGGCGUAAGAAGAUUGAAGAGAUUUGACCCUAGUACGAGAGGACCGGGUUGAACAAACCACUGGUGUAGCUGUUGUUCUGCCAAGAGCAUCGCAGCGUAGCUAAGUUUGGAAAGGAUAAACGCUGAAAGCAUCUAAGCGUGAAGCCAACUCUAAGAUGAAUCUUCUCUAAGCUCUCUAGAAGACUACUAGUUUGAUAGGCUGGGUGUGUAAUGGAUGAAAGUCCUUUAGCUGACCAGUACUAAUAGAGCGUUUGGCUUAUCUUUAAUAAAGCAU
rnacentral:rRNA from 1 species